rnacentral:rRNA from 1 species
AUUGAACGCUGGCGGCAUGCUUUACACAUGCAAGUCGAACGGCAGCGCGGGCUUCGGCCUGGCGGCGAGUGGCGAACGGGUGAGUAAUGCAUCGGAACGUGCCCAGUAGUGGGGGAUAGCCCGGCGAAAGCCGGAUUAAUACCGCAUACGACCUGAGGGUGAAAGCGGGGGACCGAAAGGCCUCGCGCUAUUGGAGCGGCCGAUGUCGGAUUAGCUAGUUGGUGGGGUAAAGGCGUACCAAGGCGACGAUCCGUAGCUGGUCUGAGAGGACGACCAGCCACACUGGGACUGAGACACGGCCCAGACUCCUACGGGAGGCAGCAGUGGGGAAUUUUGGACAAUGGGGGCAACCCUGAUCCAGCCAUGCCGCGUGCGGGAAGAAGGCCUUCGGGUUGUAAACCGCUUUUGUUCGGGAAGAAAUCCUCUGGGCUAAUACCCCGGGGGGAUGACGGUACCGGAAGAAUAAGCACCGGCUAACUACGUG